AGGUGAAGGAAGCGAAGACUCGAAGCGGUCCUAUUGCUGCUUGGCGAGGAACUUGGCAGGGCCGCGGUGAUGUUGGAGCUGCUCGAUGCGUACGCCGGCGCCGCGCUCGGCCUCUCCGGCUAUCCGCCAUUGCCACUGCCACUGCUUCCGCCGCCGCCACGCUCGGACUCUCCGGCCAUCUGCCGCCGCGCUUGUCCUCUUCGGCCAUCUGUCGCUAUUGCUGCCUCCAUGCUCNNNN
rnacentral:lncRNA from 1 species